GUCUAUGGCCAUAUCACCCUGAACGUGCCUGAUCUAGUCUGAUCUUGAAGCUAUGCAGGGUCGGGCCUGGUUAGUACUUGGAUGGGGCACACUGGGUUUCAAUGCAUA
rnacentral:rRNA from 1 species